UAUUAAAGUUGUUGCGGUUAAAAAGCUCGUAGUUGAAUCUGUGUCUCGCGCUGUCGGUUCACCGCCCGCGGUGUCAAACUGGCACGCUCGCGAGACGUCCUGCCGGUGGGACGACGUCGACCGUGGCGCGGUGCCGCGAGGCUCUCGCGCCCGGCCGGCCAGUCCCGACUCACGAUCCUGUCGCGGUGCUCUUCGCUGAGUGUCGAGGCGGGCCGGCACGUUUACUUUGAACAAAUUAGAGUGCUCAAAGCAGGCUAAAACUUCGCCUGAAUACUGUGUGCAUGGAAUAAUGGAACAGGACCUCGGUUCUAUUUUGUUGGUUUUCGGAACCCCGAGGUAAUGAUUAAUAGGGACAGAUGGGGGCAUUCGUAUUGCGACGUUAGAGGUGAAAUUCUUGGACGUCGCAAGACGGACAGAAGCGAAAGCAUUUGCCAAAAAUGUUUUCAUUAAUCAAGAACGAAAGUCAGAGGUUCGAAGGCGAUCAGAUACCGCCCUAGUUCUGACCAUAAACGAUGCCAGCUAGCGAUCCGCCGACGUUCCUCCGAUGACUCGGCGGGCAGCUUACGGGAAACCAAAGCUUUUGGGUUCCGGGGGAAGUAUGGUUGCAAAGCUGAAACUUAAAGGAAUUGACGGAAGGGCACCACCAGGAGUGGAGCCUGCGGCUUAAUUUGACUCAACACGGGAAACCUCACCAGGCCCGGACACCGGAAGGAUUGACAGAUUGAGAGCUCUUUCUUGAUUCGGUGGGUGGUGGUGCAUGGCCGUUCUUAGUUGGUGGAGCGAUUUGUCUGGUUAAUUCCGAUAACGAACGAGAACUGCCGGCGUACAAUCUUCUUAGAGGGACAGGCGGCUCCUAGCCGCACGAGAUUGAGCAAUAACAGGUCUGUGAUGCCCUUAGAUGUUCUGGGCCGCACGCGCGCUACACUGAAGGAAUCAGCGUGUCCUCCCUGGCCGAGCGGUCCGGGUAACCCGCUGAACCUCCUUCGUGCUAGGGAUUGGGGCUUGCAAUUGUUCCCCAUGAACGAGGAAUUCCCAGUAAGCGCGAGUCAUAAGCUCGCGUUGAUUACGUCCCUGCCCUUUGUACACACCGCCCGUCGCUACUACCGAUUGAAUGAUUUAGUGAGGUCUUCGGACCGGUACGCGGCGAGGUUUCGACGUCGCCGAUGUCGCUGGGAAGAUGACCAAACUUGAUCAUUU
rnacentral:rRNA from 1 species